CCCCCUUUGAUGAAAAUAUGAUUAAAGUUUGAAAUAAGGUAAAAACAAAUUGUACUAUGUUUGUGUUACAAAUAACAUAUAGUGUUUGUAUGUAUUAAUUCAGUGUAAAAAAAUAAAUUGUUUUGAUUUUCCUUCAUUUUGCUGUUAUUUUGAGGCCAUUUUAAGAAAACCUGGAUUUCCAAGAUGGACGCCAUGAGACAGCCAUUUUAAAUUUUUGAGAAAAAAUAAUUUCUCAUUUGAAAGCUUAUCUAUGCACCAACUUACUGUCCAAGUUAUAUAAAAUUUGCCCAACUUUGCUUCUGGACCAUUUUGCAUGGUUUUCUCUGAGAUCAGCUCUUAAUUUAAGCACAAGUGAAAACAAUUCCUAAAUAUAAAUUUUUGCUUCAUUUGGUAACAUGGAUGUGCAAAAUCACUGAUGGCUAACAAGGUUAAUUCCCUUAUUGGUUAGAUAAUGAAGUAUAGUCUACUGGACCCUGUAGACAUCCUACUAAAUGUAUUGAUAUAUUAAAUGUUUUUUUUAUAUCUCAAUCAAUAUUUGUACAUGCCUCACACAAAAAGGUGCAAGCAGAGUUGCAUGUACUGGACAGAGUCAGCUAUCAACUUUCUUUUUAUAACAGACCCAUUUCACAAUCAAUAUUUGUACAUGCCUCACACAUAAAGGUGCCAGCAGAGCAUGUACAUGGCAGCAGAGUUGCAUGUACUGGACAUUGUCAGCUAUCAAGUAUUUUUAUAACAAACCCACAGAACUGGUAUCCAGGAAAUUGAAAUGAAUCAACAAAACAUUUAUAUUGUAGAAAUGUAUUUUCCCGCGUUUCGGAGUAUAGGGGGAAAAUGUUGUCUAAAAGGAAUGUUUUAUAAGAACAGUAUGUUUUUGGCGGGUUUUGUUAUGUGUAGUUCUACACGUGGUUACGUGGACCAAUCAUUUGGAUUGUGUCAAUAAGUAUUAUUAUGUUAAUAAGGUGAAAGCGGGUUUUUAAUUUUCUUGUGUUUGAAAAUCAUUCUAGCCACAGACGUUCAACACUAUAAAACUUAUAUUGUAUAUUAUUUUGCUGUUUUUUCUUGUGAUGGAGUUUGGCAUCAAUGUCCCGAGGCGUGCCUUGCACUUGCUCCGAACACAGGUUUCCAUAUCAAUUUCUUUAGUAAAGUUUUUGAUGGUUUUUCCUGGGCGGUGAGGUUACGUUAAAGACGGAUAUAUACAUAAAUACAUACAUAGAGAUAUGGGCUCUUAUUGAUUCAGACUAAACUUGUUUCAGAUGUUUAUUCUUUCUGUGUACUCAUUUGGAAUGUAUUUGUAUUUCAUAUAUGUCAUGAUUUAUAAUAUAAAUAUACAUUAAACGCCGGCUCUGUUAGUCUGCACGGCUAAAUGCAUUGCUUUGUGUUUGUUAUUAUUGUAGUGUAGUUAAGACUAAUAUAUUUCUCAUUAUACCUUACUUAUGAUGCAGAUUCAAAGAUGUACUACAGUGACAUAACACUACAAGUUACAAUAUAUUUUGUAUUUUUUGUCAUGAUGCAGAUUUUUGUCAUGUUAUUUUAAACAUGGUGCAUUACUUUUUUAGAGUUUUCUUUAUGUGUUAUGACGUAUGCUAUAUUUGCUAAACUUGUAUGCAUGUUUAUUAUGUUGAUGAAAAUAAAAUAUGAUGUCUAGGUUAUCAGCAAUAUGAAUAUAUUGUUUAUUUUGUUUAAGCCUAUAAAUUAUUUUGAAAGAUUCUUAAAUAAAAUGUAUUUGAAAACCG
rnacentral:lncRNA from 1 species